rnacentral:rRNA from 1 species
UACGUAGGGUGCGAGCGUUGUCCGGAAUUAUUGGGCGUAAAGAGCUCGUAGGCGGUGUGUCACGUCGGCCGUGAAAACCUGCAGCUUAACUGUGGGCGUGCGGUCGAUACGGGGCAUCACUGGAGUUCGGCAGGGGAGACUGGAAUUCCGUGGUGAUAGCGGUGAAAUGCGACAGAUAUCAGGAGGAACACCGAUGGCGAAGGCAGCCCC